CUGGCGGCGUGCCUAAUACAUGCAAGUCGAACGGCUUUUCUAUGGAAGCUUGCUUCCACUGAGAAGAUAGUGGCGGACGGGUGAGUAACACGUGGGUAACCUGCCCAUAAGAGGGGGGAUAACAUCCGGAAACGGGUGCUAAUACCGCAUAGUUUUCUUGAUCGCAUGAUUGAGAAAGGAAAGACGGCCUUUGUGCUGUCGCUUAUGGAUGGACCCGCGGCGUAUUAGUUAGUUGGUGAGGUAAUGGCUCACCAAGACGAUGAUACGUAGCCGACCUGAGAGGGUGAUCGGCCACAUUGGGACUGAGACACGGCCCAAACUCCUACGGGAGGCAGCAGUAGGGAAUCUUCCGCAAUGGACGAAAGUCUGACGGAGCAACGCCGCGUGAGUGAAGAAGGUUUUUCCGGAUCGUAAAACUCUGUUGUCAGAGAAGAACAAGUUGGAGAGUAACUGCUCCAGCCUUGACGGUAUCUGACCAGAAAGCCACGGCUAACUACGUGCCAGCAGCGGC
rnacentral:rRNA from 1 species